UGGGGGAUCGUCUAAUGGUAGGACUACGGGUUUUGGUCCCGUGUAUUGGGGUUCGAAUCCCUGUCCCCCAGCCA
rnacentral:tRNA from 1 species